UUUCCUAACAGUGAUAAGCUCAAAACAAAAUCCUAACAAUAAAAUCUCUACCAAAUUAACAACCUUCAUAACAACUACUAGAUAAAAUCCUAACAAUAAAAUCUCUACCAAAUUAACAACCUUCAUAACAACUACUAGAUAAAAUCCUAACAAUAAAAUUAACAACUUUUAUAUAAAUCUCUACCAAAUUAACAACCUUCAUAACAACUACUAGAUAAAAUCCUAACAAUAAAAUCUCUACCAACUUAACAACUUCCAUAACAUCUUCUAGAUAAAAUCCUAACAAUAAAAUCUCUACCAAAUUAACAACCUUCAUAACAACUACUAGAUAAAAUCCUAACAAUAAAAUCUCUACCAACUUAACAACUUCCAUAACAUCUUCUAGAUAAAAUCCUAACAAAAUCCUAACAACAUGAUAAGCUCAAAUAACCGAAAAGCGAAUAUCCUAGAUGCUUCUA
rnacentral:lncRNA from 1 species